rnacentral:pre_miRNA from 1 species
GUCAACCAUUUCGUCGUUUACCCUGAGACUGGGGGGUUCUGCUCUUCGAAAAAAAAACCCUAGUCUCAGGGUAAACGACGAAAUGGUUGGUAAAA